rnacentral:rRNA from 1 species
GACGAACGCUGGCGGCGUGCUUAACACAUGCAAGUCGAACGGAAAGGCCCUGCUUUUGUGGGGUGCUCGAGUGGCGAACGGGUGAGUAACACGUGAGUAACCUGCCCUUGACUUUGGGAUAACUUCAGGAAACUGGGGCUAAUACCGGAUAGGAGCUCCUGCUGCAUGGUGGGGGUUGGAAAGUUUCGGCGGUUGGGGAUGGACUCGCGGCUUAUCAGCUUGUUGGUGGGGUAGUGGCUUACCAAGGCUUUGACGGGUAGCCGGCCUGAGAGGGUGACCGGCCACAAUGGGACUGAGAUACGGCCCAGUCUCCUACGGGAGGCAGCAGUGGGGAAUAUUGCACAAUGGGCGGAAGCCUGAUGCAGCAACGCCGCGUGCGGGAUGACGGCCUUCGGGUUGUAAACCGCUUUCGCCUGUGACGAAGCGUGAGUGACGGUAAUGGGUAAAGAAGCACCGGCUAACUACGUG